rnacentral:lncRNA from 1 species
AGUUGACAGUUACUGACUGAGUCAAAAACUGCUCACUUGAUUUCAAUUGGGGGGGCUGAUUUCAAGGAGUGGGGUUGUGUCACACCUGUGGGUAAUUGCCCUGAUGCCCUUGAGACAGUCAUAACCCACUUGUCAUGUGUUUCAGUAGGCAGAGAGUGAGAGGAAUAAAAAGUCUUGCUGGAAGGUGUGCCAGGCCAGAGCAGAGCAGGGUUCUGCUGAGGAGGCAGAAGGGCUGGGAAUUGUGAUUAGAGCACAUGUCCACCAGAUGGUGACAGAGCACCAGUGUAAACUCCCUCUCCCCUCGCCUGAGUCUCCACAGCUCCCUGGCUGCCCCUUAAGACUCAAAUAUAUGUUGGAGAUAGGUUGAUGGAAGCCCAAUGUGGUGCCCGGAGCUGAGGCCUGGUUAUAGGGCAUUUCCAAGUCUCUGGGAAAUGUCCCUCCUCUCAGAAGAGGGGAUGGAGUAAUGCCAUCACAUCUCAGGUAAAUUCCCUCACCAUCUGGUAGCCCAAUGCCUAGAGAGUUUGACAGGCUUUCUCAAAUUUGAGUCCCCUUUGAUUGUUUGAAGGCCAAACGCUGGACCCAGAAUUACCUGGCAUGAAUUUUGGCUAUCAAGUUUGCUCAUGUCAGGCUGGUCCACAUAGAGUUGAGCUUCUACAAAGCUGGCCUUCUGGUUGUGAGUGUACUGUGUCAACCCAGUGCUUUUAGGGGGCAGGCUGCACUCAUACCCAUGCUCUUUCUCUCUCCAGGUCUCCUCAAACUUCUUCCCUCACAUCCGAGUCUCUUCCUCCCCUAGGAGUCUCCUGGUGCAUGGAACUGACCUGAAACUGGGGUUCCCCCAAAGCCUCUGUCUUCCUUCUGUAGCUGAGCUGCUUCAGCCUCUGUGGGACACCCAUUUGAAGGAACCUGUCUAAAUCCAUGUAAGGUGAGUCAUGGCUGGGGAGGAAGGCUGCUGAUAAAAGGCUUACUGUCCUAACUUAAAUAGGAGGGUUGCUUCUUUCAGGGAGUUGGAUAAAGUUGCGUUUGGUGACUAGCCUGGCUGACUGUGAGAUUGUCACUCCAUCAUAUGUAGUGCAUCUGAGGGGGUCUAGAGGGAUGCGGGCAUGAAAAUCACAUUAGCAAGAGCCCCAGGGCA